UAAGGUUAAGUUAAUAAGGGCGCACGGUGGAUGCCUUGGCACUAGAAGCCGAAGAAGGACGUGACUAACGACGAAAUGCUUUGGGGAGCUGUAAGUAAGCGCUGAUCCAGAGAUGUCCGAAUGGGGGAACCCACUAGUUAAUGACUAGUAUCCAUAUCUGUUAAGGAUAUGAGAAGGAAGACGCAGUGAACUGAAACAUCUAAGUAGCUGCAGGAAGAGAAAGCAAAAGCGAUUGCCUUAGUAGCGGCGAGCGAAACGGCAGGAGGGCAAACCGAAGUGUUUACACUUCGGGGUUGUAGGACUGCGAUAUAGGAUUAAUCAUUAUAGAAGAAUUACCUGGGAAGGUAAGCCAAAGAGAGUAACAGCCUCGUAUUUAAAAUGAUAGAUUAACCUUAGCAGUAUCCUGAGUACGGCGAGACACGCGAAAUCUCGUCGGAAUCUGGGAGGACCAUCUCCCAACCCUAAAUACUCUCUAGUGACCGAUAGUGAACCAGUACCGUGAGGGAAAGGUGAAAAGCACCCCGGGAGGGGAGUGAAAUAGAACCUGAAACCGUGUGCCUACAACAAGUUCGAGCCCGUUAAUGGGUGAGAGCGUGCCUUUUGUAGAAUGAACCGGCGAGUUACGAUAUGAUGCGAGGUUAAGUUGAAGAGACGGAGCCGUAGGGAAACCGAGUCUUAAUAGGGCGCCAUAGUAUCAUGUUGUAGACCCGAAACCAUGUGACCUACCCAUGAGCAGGUUGAAGGUGAGGUAAAACUCACUGGAGGACCGAACCAGGGCACGUUGAAAAGUGCUUGGAUGACUUGUGGGUAGCGGAGAAAUUCCAAACGAACUUGGAGAUAGCUGGUUCUCUCCGAAAUAGCUUUAGGGCUAGCGUCGAUGUUAAGUCUCUUGGAGGUAGAGCACUGUUUGGGUGAGGGGUCCAUCCCGGAUUACCAAUCUCAGAUAAACUCCGAAUGCCAACGAGAUAUAAUCGGCAGUCAGACUGCGAGUGCUAAGAUCCGUAGUCGAAAGGGAAACAGCCCAGACCACCAGCUAAGGUCCCAAAAUAUAUGUUAAGUGGAAAAGGAUGUGGGGUUGCACAGACAACUAGGAUGUUAGCUUAGAAGCAGCUAUUCAUUCAAAGAGUGCGUAAUAGCUCACUAGUCGAGUGACCCUGCGCCGAAAAUGUACCGGGGCUAAAACAUAUUACCGAAGCUGUGGAUGACACAAAAGUGUCAUGGUAGGAGAGCGUUCUAUGUGUGAAGAAGGUGUACCGUGAGGAGCGCUGGAACGCAUAGAAGUGAGAAUGCCGGUAUGAGUAGCGCAAGACAGGUGAGAAUCCUGUCCACCGUAAGACUAAGGUUUCCAGGGGAAGGCUCGUCCGCCCUGGGUUAGUCGGGACCUAAGGAGAGACCGAAAGGUGUAUCCGAUGGACAACAGGUUGAUAUUCCUGUACUAGAGUAUAUAGUGAUGGAGGGACGCAGUAGGCUAACUAAACCAGACGAUUGGAAGUGUCUGGUCAAACAGUGAGGUGUGAUAUGAGUCAAAUGCUUAUAUCUUUAACAUUGAGCUGUGACGAGGAGCGAAGUUUAGUAGCGAAGUUAGUGAUGUCACACUGCCAAGAAAAGCUUCUAGCGAUACAUAUACUCUACCCGUACCGCAAACCGACACAGGUAGUCGAGGCGAGUAGCCUCAGGUGAGCGAGAGAACUCUCGUUAAGGAACUCGGCAAAAUGGCCCCGUAACUUCGGGAGAAGGGGCGCUGAUUUUAGAUCAGCCGCAGUGAAUAGGCCCAAGCAACUGUUUAUCAAAAACACAGCUCUCUGCUAAAUCGUAAGAUGAUGUAUAGGGGGUGACGCCUGCCCGGUGCUGGAAGGUUAAGAGGAGUGCUUAGCGUAAGCGAAGGUAUGAAUUGAAGCCCCAGUAAACGGCGGCCGUAACUAUAACGGUCCUAAGGUAGCGAAAUUCCUUGUCGGGUAAGUUCCGACCCGCACGAAAGGCGUAAUGAUUUGGGCACUGUCUCAACGAGAGACUCGGUGAAAUUUUAGUACCUGUGAAGAUGCAGGUUACCCGCGACAGGACGGAAAGACCCCAUGGAGCUUUACUGCAGUUUGAUAUUGAGUAUCUGUACCACAUGUACAGGAUAGGUAGGAGCCUAUGAUAACGGGACGCCAGUUUCGUUUGAGGCGUUGUUGGGAUACUACCCUUGUGUUAUGGCUACUCUAACCCAGAUAGGCAAUCCCUAUCGGAGACAGUGUCUGACGGGCAGUUUGACUGGGGCGGUCGCC
rnacentral:rRNA from 1 species